rnacentral:rRNA from 1 species
GGGCCCGCACAAGCGGUGGAGCAUGUGGUUUAAUUCGAUGCACGCGAAGAACCUUACCAGGGUUUGACAUAGUACGAAGUUUUUUGAAAAAAAAGCCACCUCGGGAACGUACAUACAGGUGGUGCAUGGCUGUCGUCAGCUCGUGUCGUGAGAUGUUGGGUUAAGUCCCGCAACGAGCGUAACCCUUGUUUUUAGUUGCCAGCAUUUAGUUGGGCACUCUAGAGAGACCGCCGGUGAUAAACCGGAGGAAGGUGUGGAUGACGUCAAGUCAUCAUGCCCCUUACAUCCUGGGCUACACACGUACUACAAUGCUACGGACAAAGAGCAGCAAGUUCGCGAGGACAAGCA